rnacentral:rRNA from 1 species
AUUGAACGCUAGCGGCAGGCCUAACACAUGCAAGUCGAGCGAGCGGCGUACGUGUGCGUAAUGUAUGGGGACUGCCCGAUAGAGGGGGAUCACUACUUGAAACUGUGGCUAAUACCGCAUACUCUCGGAUCACCCCUAUGGGAUUAGCUAGUAGGUGGGGUAACGGCUCACCUAGGCGACGCGCUCUAGCUGUGCUGAGCGGAUGAUAAGCCAAACUGGGACUGAGACACGGUCCAGACUCCUACGGAGGCAGCAGUGGGGAAUAUUGCACAAGGGGCGCAAGCCUGAUGCAGCAAUGCCGCGUGUAUGAAGAAGGCCGUAGGGUUGUAAAGUACUUUCAGCGAGGAGGCGUUACCAGCAGAAGAAGAACCGGCUAACUCCGUGCCAGCAGCGGCGGUAAUAC